rnacentral:rRNA from 1 species
CCUACGGGAGGCAGCAGUGGGGAAUAUUGCACAAUGGGCGCAAGCCUGAUGCAGCGACGCCGCGUGAGGGAUGAAGGCCUUCGGGUUGUAAACCUCUUUCAGUAGGGAAGAAGCGAAAGUGACGGUACCUGUAGAAGAAGCGCCGGCUAACUACGUGCCAGCAGCCGCGGUAAUACGUAGGGCGCAAGCGUUAUCCGGAAUUAUUGGGCGUAAAGAGCUCGUAGGCGGUUUGUCGCGUCUGCCGUGAAAGUCCGGGGCUUAACUCCGGAUCUGCGGUGGGUACGGGCAGACUUGAGUGAUGUAGGGGAGACUGGAAUUCCUGGUGUAGCGGUGAAAUGCGCAGAUAUCAGGAGGAACACCGAUGGCGAAGGCAGGUCUCUGGGCUGUAACUGACGCUGAGGAGCGAAAGCAUGGGGAGCGAACAGGAUUAGAUACCCUGGUAGUCCAUGCCGUAAACGUUGGGCACUAGGUGUGGGGGACAUUCCACGUUUUCCGCGCCGUAGCUAACGCAUUAAGUGCCCCGCCUGGGGAGUACGGCCGCAAGGCUAAAACUCAAAGGAAUUGACGGGGGCCCGCACAAGCGGCAGAGCAUGCGGAUUAAUUCGAUGCAACGCGAAGAACCUUAC